UUCCUGAAAAUGGAUGGCACUCCAGCGUCGAGCUCAUACCCGGCCUGUUCUCCAAACUUUUUUUUAGUGGAGAACCGAGUAGGAGGGUCGCGGCGGUGGCAUGGAAGGGCGUGGCGCGAGCCUGCCUGGAGCCUCUGCCGGUGCAGAUCUUGGUGGUAGUAGCAAAUACUCAAGUGAGAACCUUGAGGACUGAAGUUGGAGAAGGGUUCCAUGUCAACAGCGUUUGCACAUGGGUGAGUCGGUCUUUAGUCAACGGAGAGAUCCGUGCUAGGCGAUACUUUAAGAGUCACGCAAUGGACGAAAGGUUAUCGGGUUAAGAUUGCCGAUCCCGGACACGAAAUAAAUGAGACCUCGGUCUCUGGUGCGGUAACGCAAACGAACUCGGAGACGCCCGUGGAGGCACCAGGGAAGAGAUAUUUUCUUUUCUUCGUAAGAGGUGCGAAGUCCCUGGAAAGGUGUCAUGCCGAGAUAGGGACAGGCGGCCUCGAAAGAGCACCUCGUUUCACGAGUUGUGCCUGGGACCCCUUUACGGGCCCUUGCAAAUCCGAGGGAGAGUCUAUGAUUUUCGUGCCGGGCCGUACCUAUAUCCGCAUCAGGUCUCCAAGGUGAACAGCCUCUAGUCACUAGAACAAUGUAGGUAAGGGAAGUCGGCAAAUUCGAUCCGUAACUUCGGGAUAAGGAUUGGCUCUGGGGGCCCCGUUCGUCGGGCUGUGUCUCCGAAGCCCUGUUUGCGUACCGUUCGGACUGGGUUCGUUCCCGGACUGAUAUGUGCCUGCGGGGUGGAAGUACGCAGUUUUUGUGUCCGUGACCCUUCUUGGGGAACAGACGCGUGACGACGGACGCUAUGGGGCGGACUCAGAACUGGCACGGACCCUGGGAAUCCGACUGUCUAAUUAAAACAAAGCAUUGCGAUGGUCUGCGAGAGAUGUUGACGCAAUGUGAUUUCUGCCCAGUGCUCUGAAUGUCAAAAUGAAGAAAUUCAAUGAAGCUCGGGUAAACGGCGAGAGUAAUUAUGACUUUCUUAAGGUAGCCAAAUGCCUCGUCAUCUAAUUAGUGACGCGCAUGAAUGGAUUAACGAGAUUCCCAACUGUCCCUAUCUAUUAUCUAGCGAAACCACAGCCAAGGGAACACGCUUGGCACUAUCAGCGGGGAAAGAAGACCCUGUUAAACUUGACUUUAGUCAGACAUUGUUUAGGGACAUGAAGGGUGUAGAAUAAGUGGGAGUCUUCUCACGGAGACGCCGUUGAAAUACCACUACCUUCAUCGUCUCUUUACUUACUCGGUGGUGCGGAAGAAGCCCGCUUCGUGCGGGCCCGUAUGGCUUUGAAGCCUCCUAUCAAUAAGAAAGGAAGCAAUCCGCUCCGGAGAAAGUGUCCGGUAGGGAGUUUAACUGGGGCGGUAUACCUGUCAAAAUGUAACGCAGGUGUCCUAAGGCCAGCUCAGCGGGGACAGAAACCUCGCGUAGAGCAAAAGGGCAAAAGCUGGCUUGAUUCUGAUUUUCAGUACGAGUACGGACCGCGAAAGCGGGGCCUAUCAUCCUUUCGAAUUUACGAGUUUUAAGCGAGAGGUGUCAGAAAAGUUACUACAGGGAUAAUUGAGUUGUGGCGGCCAAGUGUUCAUAGCGAUGUCGCUUUUUGAUUUUUUGAUGUCGGCUCUUCCUAUCAUUGCGAAGCAGAAUUCGCAAAGCGUUGGAUUGUUCACCCACUAACAGGGAAUGUGAGCUGGGUUUAGACCGUAGUGAGAUAGAUUAGUUUUACCCUUCUGAUGGAUAGUUUUUGCGAUAGCAAUCGAGCUCAGUACGAGAGGAACCGCAGGUUCGGAAAUUUGGUAUGUGCGCCUGGCCGGAAGGCCAACGGUGCUAGGCUACCGUCCGCGGGUUAACGGCUGAACGCCUCUAAGCCGGAAGCCCGCCUAACC
rnacentral:rRNA from 1 species